GAUGAACGCUGGCGGCGUGCCUAAUACAUGCAAGUCGAGCGAACAGACGAGGAGCUUGCUCCUCUGACGUUAGCGGCGGACGGGUGAGUAACACGUGGAUAACCUACCUAUAAGACUGGGAUAACUUCGGGAAACCGGAGCUAAUACCGGAUAAUAUAUUGAACCGCAUGGUUCAAUAGUGAAAGACGGUUUUGCUGUCACUUAUAGAUGGAUCCGCGCCGCAUUAGCUAGUUGGUAAGGUAACGGCUUACCAAGGCAACGAUGCGUAGCCGACCUGAGAGGGUGGCGGCCCACAGGGGAAUUGAGACAGGGACCAGCCUCCAGCGGGAGGAGCCAGUGGGGAUUCUCCGAGAAUGGGGAAAAGUUGGAGGGAGAACGGCCGGGGGAGGAAGGAGGGUUUUAGAACCUUAAACCUUUUUUAUUAGGAAAAAAAAAAGGUGAAAUUAAUUAUGAGUGUCUGGAGGGUACCUAAUAAGAAGGCCACGGCUAACUACGUG
rnacentral:rRNA from 1 species